UCCCUGGUGGUUCAAUGGCUAAGACUCCAUGCUCCCAAUGCAGGGGGCCCAGGUUCAAUCCCUGGUCAGGGAA
rnacentral:tRNA from 1 species